rnacentral:sRNA from 18 species
ACCCGUGUGGUAUGGUGGGGGUAUGCGAAAGCACCCCAAACGCUUACUAUGGCGUUAGGACACCUAAGCCGUACGGGUUU